GACGAACCGAGCGAACGUUAUUCGGAAUCACUGGGCUUAAAGGGUGCGUAGGCGGGCUGUCAAGUCUGGGGUGAAAUCCGGCAGCUUAACUGUCGAACUGCCUCAGAUACUGAUGGCCUCGAGGAAGGUAGGGGCAUGCGGAACUGUAGGUGGAGCGGUGAAAUGCGUUGAUAUCUACAGGAACUCCGGUGGCGAAAGCGGCGUGCUGGACCUUUUCUGACGCUGAGGCACGAAAGCUAGGGGAGCAAACGGG
rnacentral:rRNA from 1 species